UUUACAUGUAUUUAUUUCAGUGCCAUUUUUUCAGUUUAUAUAAUUAUAAGAUUUAAAUAUUUUGCAGGUUCUUAACCAUGUUGCCCCUCUUGAGGCCACCAACUUCUCCACCUGUUGCACUCCAAUACAAUUGAAUUUCAAAUUGCUGGCAUUUGUCUCACAUGACUGGUAUGAGGCUCAUGCUCUGAUGAAUGAACCCAAAGGAAUCUAAAUGAACAGUUUUUAAUCAUUUGAUGAUGGAAUUGAUUAAAAGUGAUAAACAGGCAAAUAAAUGAUGGUCCAAUGGAGUAGCCACAGGGGGCUGUAUAUUUUAAUGAAAUGGAAAAUACAGAAUUAACAGUUGUCUAGAAUGGGGUCCCAUCGCUAUUGAUAGAUUAAGAUGAUAGAGGGCUCUGAUGAUGGCAGAACAAUCUGAGGAGUGAAUCCCAAAGUGGGUGAUUUUUCUGACAUAGGAAAAGGUUGGUACUCUUAAC